UACCAGCACCCCGAGUGGUCGGGACGAUUAUUGGGCCUAAAGCAUCCGUAGCCGGUUCUACAAGUCUUCCGUUAAAUCCACCUGCUUAACAGAUGGGCUGCGGAGGAUACUAUAGAGCUAGGAGGCGGGAGAGGCGAGCGGUACUUAGUGGGUAGGGGUAAAAUCCGUUGAUCCAUUGAAGACCACCAGUGGCGAAGGCGGCUUGCCAGAACGCACUCGACGGUGAGGGAUGAAAGCUGGGGGAGCAAACCGG
rnacentral:rRNA from 1 species